rnacentral:rRNA from 1 species
UACGGAGGGUGCAAGCGUUGCUCGGAAUUACUGGGCGUAAAGCGAACGCAGGCGGUUCAUUAAGUCGGGCGUGAAAGCCCCGGGCUCAACCUGGGAAUUGCACCCGAUACUGGUGGACUUGAGUCUGAGAGAGGGAAGCGGAAUUCCUGGUGUAGAGGUGAAAUUCGUUGAUAUCAGGAGGAACACCGGGCGGCGAAGGGCGG